rnacentral:rRNA from 1 species
UACGUAGGCAGCGAGCGUUGUUCGGAGUUACUGGGCGUAAAGGGUGCGUAGGCGGUUGUUUAAGUUUGGUGUGAAAUCUCCCGCUCAACUGGGAGGGUGCGCCGAAUACUGAAUGACUAGAGUGCGGGAGAGGAUAGUGGAAUUCCUGGUGUAGCGGUGAAAUGCGUAGAUAUCUGGAGGAACACCGGUGGCGAAGGCGGCAUCCUGGACCGAUACUGACGCUGAGGAGCGAAAGCCAGGGGAGCAAACGGG